AGCUCCUGUAGCCGCUCUCGGAACUGGAUGUGGAAAACUCCCAGCUGCUCUGCAAGCCACUUCCCAUGGUUGGUCUUUCCAGAGCCUCUCACUCCAAGCAUGAAGACACGCAGCGCAGCAUAUUCAUCCAGACAAGGUUGUAGCGUACCCCUCUCCUUCAGCACCACUGGACAAAAAUGCUUGGUGUCUCCCAGCUGCCUCUUAAAGCUGACUUCCUCCUGAGACCAUCAUAAACAAAAGAGUGGCGAGCCAGCACCGCUCGAUCCACCUCUUCCUUAUUCUGUUCAUACAUCCUGGUUAGUACAGUCCUUCCUUCAAUAAACAACAAGUGACCAGUGACCAUCACAAUCAAGUGGACUUAAUGGCCUAAACAAGCAUAGGCUGUAUCCUUUGAUGUCAAAAUCAGAACUA